UUAACCGUUUUUUGUCCUCCCACUGUGACGAUCAUCAGAACACAAAACACACACACACACACACACACCUGCAAACACACAAAACCAAAACUUACCAUGUCUGAUUCCCAGUUCUCAUUUGUGUUUGUAGAUCUGUCCUCUGUCCAGUCCUCCGUCUACGAUUUGAGACAACAAUCAAACUACAUAAAACUAAAUUUAAAUGAUCACUUUUGUGAAAUGUGUCAUUAGGAGGUUCUAAAGACCUGUAUGGUUUGGCUUUGUGUUUCAUUGCUGGGGAUAAACCUGCUGUAAUUGUAUGCUUCAGCAGAUUGAUGUAAUACUGCUGGGACGCUGCUCUCAGAGGACCAGGGCCCGGCUGAUAGGCUCCAUGGAGCAGGACCCGGCGGAAUCACAGCAGAAACGGGAUCCCUGUCAAGAGAAAGGGGACAGUCGUGUUGCUGAAUCAUUUUAAAGACUGCACUGCUGUUUGUAUAUCCAAGCACACCAUCAACAAGGGAUAUGGGGAAGCGUGGUCUGACUAUGGACAGAAAAGGAAGUGCAGAAGAGAAAAGAAAACCAGCCCUUUUCAGCCUCAGAGGGUGUGAUAUAUGAUUCAAACAACUAUGUGCAUGCGCAAAUACUAAAGUGCUUGUGAGUGUGAUGGAGCUGCAACAGCGUUUUUCUGUGUCCAUGAAUGAUUAUGAAGAAAGUGAAGGAAAUGCAGAGAGGAGGAUGCAGAAAAAAUGAUGAUGUUAGAACAGAAGAUCUUUAUCAAAGUCUUCAGUUCCCACCUACUGCACACCAUGGAACUAUAAACAGUACAACACUGCUCUCAGAACACUGUGAAAGAAAGUAUGUGUUUUUACUGUUUGCUGUGAACAUUCUUAUCUCAGCCAUCAUCCUUGUCAUUGUGGGUCUAAAUUACUCUCACAACAGAGAAACACAACCAAUAAAAGGACAAAAAGAAAUGUGGCUUCUCCAUGACAAUGUGUUUUAUUUGUUCUGGAGUGACCACAGUGAUUGCUGCACUGCUAAGAGCUUCUGUUCUAAGAGAAAUGCCAGUCUGGCCAUUUUAACUGAGCAUAACAAGGUGCAGCAGCUAUUCAUACACUGUCCUCUCUUUCUCCUUUUAUUUACUUAUUUAUUUUUAAAUGUGAACACAUCAUUGAAUGCAUGUGUGUACAUGGGCAGGUCUGGUUGAUGUCUAGAACCAAUGGAAAAUUUUUGGUCUCAAGAGCCUCAUCAGAUGGAUCUGGAGACACUACUUCUCCAUUAGUGGUAAUGCAUUUGAAAUUUUUGGUUUUAUUUUCAAAUUUUGUUUUCAUAUUUGUGAAAGAUUUUUCUGAACAAUUAUCAAAAUUGAAAAAGUUUUCAAAGCUGUUGGAAGAGUUUGAAAAUUAUUUUUUUUUAAAAAAUAAAUAUUUUAUAUAUGAUUGACUACAGUACCAUAACUGAUGUCUGUUUUACACAUAACUGUGAGAACAGUGAGAAAGUAUGUUAGAAAGUGUACGAUCUAUGGUUUGUGUGUGAGACAGUGGGGAAAAAGUAAACAAAGAAACAAACAAACAAACAUUGAAAAAAUAUUGAAACUUUUUUUUUUAAGUAGAACUUAAAAGCAAAAAAAAGUAUUAAUUGUCUUACAUGAAUCUAAUAUGAAUUAUA
rnacentral:lncRNA from 1 species